rnacentral:rRNA from 1 species
GACAGAGGGUGCAAACGUUGCUCGGAAUUACUGGGCGUAAAGCGCGUGUAGGCGGACCACCAAGUCGGACGGUGAAAGCCCUGAGCUCAACUCAGGAACUGCAAUCCGAAACUGGCGGUCUGGAGUAUGGUGGAGAAGGAAGAGAAUUCCUGGUGUAGAGGUGAAAUUCGUAGAUAUCAGGAGGAACACCGGUGGCGAAGGC